rnacentral:rRNA from 1 species
GGAAUAUUGGGCAAUGGAGGCAACUCUGACCCAGCCAUGCCGCGUGCAGGAUGAAGGCCUUCUGGGUUGUAAACUGCUUUUAUCUAGGAAGAAAAAGCCCUUGCGAGGGAAACUGACGGUACUAGAUGAAUAAGCACCGGCUAACUCCGUGCCAGCAGCCGCGGUAAUACGGAGGGUGCAAGCGUUGUCCGGAUUUAUUGGGUUUAAAGGGUGCGUAGGCGGCCCUGUAAGUCAGUGGUGAAAGCCUCCAGCUCAACUGGAGAACUGCCAUUGAUACUGCAGGGCUUGAGUACAGACGAGGUUGGCGGAAUUGAUAGUGUAGCGGUGAAAUGCAUAGAUACUAUCAAGAACUCCGAUUGCGUAGGCAGCUAACUAGGCUGUAACUGACGCUGAGGCACGAAAGCGUGGGGAGCGAACAG